rnacentral:rRNA from 1 species
AUUGAACGCUGGCGGCAUGCCUAAUACAUGCAAGUCGAACGAAGAACUUGUAGCAAUACUUGUUCUUAGUGGCGAAUGGGUGAGUAACGCGUUGGUGACCUACCCCGAAGAGAGGGAUAACUCCGGGAAACUGGAGCUAAUACCUCAUGUGGUUGUGGAGAUUAGACGCUUCACAUCUAAAGGAGCAAUCCACUUCGGGAGGGACCUGCGCCCCAUCAGCUAGUUGGUAGGGUAACGGCCUACCAAGGCGACGACGGGUAGGGGACCUGAGAGGGUGGCCCCCCACACUGGCACUGAAACACGGGCCAGACACCUACGGGUGGCAGCAGUAGGGAAUAUUGCACAAUGGGCGAAAGCCUGAUGCAGCAACGCCGCGUGCACGAUGAAGACCUUCGGGUUGUAAAGUGCUUUUCUGAAGGACGAGGAAGGACGGUACUUCAAGAAUAAGGAUCGGCUAACUACGUGCCAGCAGCCGCGGUAACAC